rnacentral:rRNA from 1 species
CGGGAUGAGCUCAAAUUUAAAAUCUGGCUGGUUUACUAGUCCGAAUUGUAGUUUAUAGAAGCGUUUUCGGUGGCAGCCUGGGUAUAAAUCCUUUGGAAUAGGGUAUCAUAGAGGGUGAGAAUCCCGUCCUUGAC